GACGAACGCUGGCGGCGUGCUUAACACAUGCAAGUCGAACGGAAAGGCCCUGCUUUUGUGGGGUGCUCGAGUGGCGAACGGGUGAGUAACACGUGAGUAACCUGCCCUUGACUUUGGGAUAACUUCAGGAAACUGGGGCUAAUACCGGAUAGGAGCUCCUGCUGCAUGGUGGGGGUUGGAAAGUUUCGGCGGUUGGGGAUGGACUCGCGGCUUAUCAGCUUGUUGGUGGGGUAGUGGCUUACCAAGGCUUUGACGGGUAGCCGGCCUGAGAGGGUGACCGGCCAGAGUGGGACUGAGAUGCGGCCCAGGCGCCUACGGGAGGCAGCAGUGGGGAAUAUUGCACAAUGGGCGGAAGCAUGAUGCAGCAACGCCGCGUGCGGGAUGACGGCCUGCGGGUUGUAAACCGCUUUCGCCUGUGACGAAGCGUGAGUGACGGUAAUGGGUAAAGAAGCACCGGCUAACUACGU
rnacentral:rRNA from 1 species